GCCUGGGUGGCUCAGUGGUUGAGCACCUGUCUUUGGCUCAGGGCGUGAUCCCGGAGUCCUGGGAUCAAGUCCCACAUCGGGCU
rnacentral:tRNA from 1 species